AUUUUAGAAAAUUCAAAUUUCCCUCUGUUAUGCAAUUAGCGCCUCUUGUACGUUGCCAAUUAGCGCCUCAUGUAGUUUCUCCUUCGCACAGUUCCAGAUUUCAUGUAGUUUCUAGCUUUAUUCUCCAUUUCUUGGAUCUCAAACAUUUUUCUUGAUUCAUCUACCUUGGCGACCGAAUGUCGAUGCCUUUCUUGGAUCUCCUUAAUUCCAUGGAAAUUACUCAUGACCUUUAAUUUGGGUCUCCAUCAUAGGAAACCUAGGUCGCGAGUCCAUGUUUAGGCCAUCUUCAAUUUGUUCUCCCAAAUGCUUUAUUUUAUUUUUUUCUCGAUCUCAUGAAUAAGUUGUUCUGUUCGUUGUUGGAGGACUUGGUGGCCGGUGACGAGAAGUGACGGUGGAGUUGAUGACUAUAGCUCUUGCUUUCGCACCAAAUUGCAAGGUGCUGAAUGAUCUUUUGCCCUCUCUCUCUCUCUCUCUCUCUCUCUCUCUCUCAAAGUAACACAUCUUUCUUAGCUGUAUAUUUGAGUUUAUUUGGUUAUUUUGAUGCGUGUUUUAUUCGAAUUCAUGUAAGUCGAGGGAACGGAUGGCCGUUGAAGCCAUCAUCGUAUGAAGCUCAAUUAUAAGGUUUGUUGAGAAGAGUUUAGAUGCUGAAUUGAGAGCAUUGGUUUUCAAUCCUCGACUCAUGGAGCUUUUUGAGGUGUGCUGGAAAUGGAAAACACAGACAUAGAGCAGGAAACAGAGUCUUCAUCGAGAGGGGUUUUCAAGUUACUUGGAGAACCUGCGAUAGUUAUUAAUGGGUAGCACAAUUCGAAUAGUAUACUCGGGUAUUUAGAGAGAUCAUUUCUCGACUUCUAUCCCUGGAUUCUUCAAAGGAUUGCCAGACGUAUACAAUGCAUUCAAAAUUCCAAAUCCAUGAUGGGCGCACUUUGAGAAAUUCUUAUGUCAUGCCUUCUCACCUUUCAGCUGGUGGAGUUAUUGGAUCAAUCCUGGUGGUCCUUUGCUUGUUUUGGGUUGGUCUGGUAGAAGAAGAAGAACUAUCCAUGAAAGAAAUGGUCAGAAAGCUAACGACAAACACAAUGUAAAGUAAAAUAAUUAUCCAUGAAUAAGAGCUUUCAUGUAAUGUGAUUUGUGUUUUUUUUU